UUAAAAUACUGUUUUUAACCUCAUUUAUCACAAACAUGGGACAAGAGAACCCAGUUGAAACACUGGGUGAAUAAAUGAGCUGUGCUGCUGGUGACAUACAUUUGAGGGAAAACUAGGUUCCCUUAGCUGAAGUGAUGUGACAUGAUGCAUAAAUUUCAGUGAGAGUGUCUUAAAGAAAAAAGAAACCAAAGAAAACCAGGCAAAU